AAACUUACCUGACAGGGGAGGUACCAUGAUCACAAAGGUGGUUUUCCCAGAGUAAGACAUAUCCAUUUCACUCUAGAUGUGCUGACCCUGAGAUUUCUCCAAAUGUGGGAAACUCGACUGCAUAAUUUGUGGUAGCAGGGGACUGC
rnacentral:snRNA from 1 species